GACGUAGGGCGCGAGCGUUUGUCCGGAUUUAUUGGGCGUAAAGAGCUCGUAGGCGGCUUGUCGCGUCGACUGUGAAAUCCCGCGGCCCAACCGCGGGUCUGCAGUCGAUACGGGCAGGCUAGAGUUCGGUAGGGGAGACUGGAAUUCCUGGUGUAGCGGUGAAAUGCGCAGAUAUCAGGAGGAACACCGAUGGCGAAGGCAGGUCUCUGGGCCACUACUGACGCUGAGAAGCGAAAGCAUGGGGAGCGAACAGG
rnacentral:rRNA from 1 species